CCGACCUUAGCUCAGAUGGUAGAGCGGAGGACUGUAGUGUGGCACAGAUUAAUCCUUAGGUCGCUAGUUCGAAUCCGGCAGGUCGGA
rnacentral:tRNA from 1 species